GACGAACGCUGGCGGCGUGCCUAAUACAUGCAAGUAGAGCGCACAGUUUAUACCGUAGCCUGCUACACCAUAGACUGUGAGUUGCGAACGGGUGAGUAACGCGUAGGUAACCUGCCUGGUAGCGGGGGAUAACUAUUGGAAACGAUAGCUAAUACCGCAUAAUAUUAAUUAUUGCAUGAUAAUUAAUUGAAAGGUGCAAUUGCACCACUACCAGAUGGACCUGCGUUGUAUUAGCUAGUAGGUGAGGUAACGGCUCACCUAGGCGACGAUACAUAGCCGACCUGAGAGGGUGAUCGGCCACACUGGGACUGAGACACGGCCCAGACUCCUACGGGAGGCAGCAGUAGGGAAUCUUCGGCAAUGGACGAAAGUCUGACCGAGCAACGCCGCGUGAGUGAAGAAGGUUUUCGGAUCGUAAAGCUCUGUUGUAAGAGAAGAACGGGUGUGAGAGUGGAAAGUUCACACUGUGACGGUAUCUUACCAGAAAGGGACGGCUAACUACGUG
rnacentral:rRNA from 1 species